GACGAACGCUGGCGGCGUGCCUAAUACAUGCAAGUCGAGCGAAGUUUUUCUGGUGCUUGCACUAGAAAAACUUAGCGGCGAACGGGUGAGUAACACGUAAAGAACCUGCCUCAUAGACGGGGACAACUAUUGGAAACGAUAGCUAAUACCGGAUAACAACAUAAAUCGCAUGAUAUAUGUUUAAAAGUUGGUUUCGGCUAACACUAUGAGAUGGCUUUGCGGUGCAUUAGCUAGUUGGUGGGGUAAAGGCCUACCAAGGCGACGAUGCAUAGCCGACCUGAGAGGGUGAUCGGCCACACUGGGACUGAGACACGGCCCAGACUCCUACGGGAGGCAGCAGUAGGGAAUCUUCCGCAAUGGGCGAAAGCCUGACGGAGCAACGCCGCGUGAGUGAAGAAGGAUUUCGGUUCGUAAAGCUCUGUUGUUAGGGAAGAAUGAUUGUGUAGUAACUAUACACAGUAGAGACGGUACCUAACCAGAAAGCCACGGCUAACUACGUGCCAGCAGCCGCGGUAAUACGUAGGUGGCAAGCGUUGUCCGGAAUUAUUGGGCGUAAAGCGCGCGCAGGUGGUUUAAUAAGUCUGAUGUGAAAGCCCACGGCUCAACCGUGGAGGGUCAUUGGAAACUGUUAAACUUGAGUGCAGGAGAGAAAAGUGGAAUUCCUAGUGUAGCGGUGAAAUGCGUAGAGAUUAGGAGGAACACCAGUGGCGAAGGCGGCUUUUUGGCCUGUAACUGACACUGAGGCGCGAAAGCGUGGGGAGCAAACAGG
rnacentral:rRNA from 1 species